GUGAUCCUCCCACCUCAGCCUCCCAAGUAGCUAGGACCACAGGAAUUCUCCAUGAAAAGAGCUUCCCCAGGUAGCUGUCACCCUUUCAGCCUGAGCCUCAGAACAAAGAUGUAGAGCAGCCCUGAGCCUAACCCACAGCAUGGAGCCCAGCCCAGCCAGCAUGCAGUCUGGAGCAGGGCUUCCCAGCUAAGCCUAACCUACAUGGGCCACGUUGUAGUCAACCUGCAGAUAAGUGAGCAUGAGAAUAAAGGCUUGUUGCUGGA